UUGGAUUUCACACUUUCCUAGGGGCUGUUC
rnacentral:piRNA from 1 species